rnacentral:rRNA from 1 species
UGAAGGAAUAAGAGCGCAUAGUGGAUGCCUUGGCCAAA